AACGGAAAGGCCCUGCUUGCAGGGUACUCGAGUGGCGAACGGGUGAGUAACACGUGGGUGAUCUGCCCUGCACUUCGGGAUAAGCCUGGGAAACUGGGUCUAAUACCGGAUAGGAGCCAUCUUUAGSGUGAUGGUUGGAAAGUUUUUUCGGUGUAGGAUGAGCUCGCGGCCUAUCAGCUUGUUGGUGGGGUAAUGGCCUACCUAGGCGGCGACGGGUAGCCGGCCUGAGAGGGUGUACGGCCACAUUGGGACUGAGAUACGGCCCAGACUCCUACGGGAGGCAGCAGUGGGGAAUAUUGCACAAUGGGCGCAAGCCUGAUGCAGCGACGCCGCGUGGGGGAUGAAGGCCUUCGGGUUGUAAACUCCUUUCGCUAGGGACGAAGCUUUUUUGUGACGGUACCUAGAUAAGAAGCACCGGCUAACUACGUGCCAGCAGCCGCGGUAAUACGUAGGGUGCGAGCGUUGUCCGGAAUUACCGGGCGUAAAGGGCUCGUAGGUGGUUUGUCGCGUCGUCUGUGAAAUUCUGGGGCUUAACUCCGGGCGUGCAGGCGAUACGGGCAUAACUUGAGUGCUGUAGGGGUAACUGGAAUUCCUGGUGUAGCGGUGAAAUGCGCAGAUAUCAGGAGGAACACCGAUGGCGAAGGCAGGUUACUGGGCAGUUACUGACGCUGAGGAGCGAAAGCAUGGGUAGCGAACAGGAUUAGAUACCCUGGU
rnacentral:rRNA from 1 species